rnacentral:lncRNA from 1 species
GAUCCUUGCAUCAACACCGUGUGCUUUGGGUAAACCAUAUUCUGCCUCAUUAUGCCAAGGAUGCAGGCGUGGCCCUCAGGCUGAGCUUCUGCUUUGCUUUCCCAACCAGCACCACUCGCCAUCCUCGGGGGCAAGCCUAAUGCUUAUCAUCGAGUUCCCCCAGCAUUCACACCCUGCAGCGAGCUUUGGAUCUUACCACAUGGAUUUGAGGAGCGCUAAAGACGCCUCAUGUUUGCAGGGAUCACACAGAACUGGGUGUUGUUUUGGCCAAUAAAUAGUCACUUAUGG